UAUCAUAUUGAAUCCCAUGAAUUGUGGAAAAGAUUGUUUUUUUUUGUUUUUAUAUUUUUUUUUUUAAAUUAACAAACAGCUUUCAAAUGAAAUGUUAAAAAUGCAUUAUUUAACACCAGUAAUAGGCCCUGAUGUACUAUGCAAUUUUCAUUGAUAAUAACAUCCAUGUCCAGUCAAAUUGUUGUAUUAAAAAAAAAAAAAAAAGUCUUUUUUAUGUAAGAACUCUUUACUAUUGACUUUUUUAAAGUGUCUCGUCUCUAAGAAAAUUACACAUCGUAACCUUUACGAACCAACAAAGGUUAUGAUGUGUAAUUCGUAUCCAUUGCACUUAAAAAACCGGGUAACUGGUAUCCAUUUCAAAAUUCCCUUGUUUUUAAGUGCAAAUUUCCAUUGUUGGUAGUAAUUCGUAUUAGAAAGCUCACAAUUUCUGGAGUAAAAAUUAAAACUGGUAAACACCCAACCAUAGGAGAGAGAUGAAAAUGGAAGUUCAAGUAGUGGAGUGCACCGGCACCGGAAGCGGCGUAGUAGCUUACACAUUGAAAGCAAGUCGAUACAGCAACGAAGACAUACUAUUGGAAUUCAAGUUAUAGGAAUUGAAGUCUUUUGCUACAUUUGUUCAAACUGGAGAUGUAGCACAAGACUUGAAUUCCAAUACAUACUUUUCUGUAUUGAUGUUGACACCGAAACUAUGGUUGAAAUGAAGAACACUGGACCUAAUGGAAGACCCAGUAGUCGACUUGAUUCUAUCAAACCAUCCCAUUCAUUGUUUCGCCUUUGCUUUUCUCUCUAAAUCUGCUUCUUGGGUGAGAAAGGAGUUUACAAGUGAAGUUGAUUAUGCAAUCACUGCUUUUCGGGGGUUGUCUGUGAGCUCAUCAGGAGGUCAGGCAGACCUUACUCAGUUAUUUUGAGUUGCUGCGCACCAAGCGAAAAAAUCCCGGUCUCAAAAUCGAAUAUUAAGAGUGUGGCCUGCCAACCGAAAGCUCCUCACUCUGAUGUAGUUUACCUUCAUGACAAGCCGGGACCUGAAAAUUGCCCCCAAAAAGUGUAUGAUAAUCUUGUGGAAGCCCUUGAAUAAGUUACUGAGUAUAAGGGCUACAUCUUUGAAAGUGGUCAGGGCCUUCAAUGCAUUCUUUUCCGUCACAUGUGCUUGCUGUUAUCGCACCAUCAGCAGCAUUGCUUGCAAGAUGACCUUGAUUUACCCUUGUCACUGACUAAGAAAUUGCCGGCAACUGAUGCUGCUCAGGCUGAAGAUACCGUCACUGUGUCUAGCCAAUGAGAAUGUUGAUUGGCUUGGUAGUCCGGGCAUUCAGCAGAUGUUUUGAAUAUUUGUUAUAGUUGUUAUCUUCAGACAUUGUAUCAUAGUUAAAAAGAGACAGCUGCUGCUUUUCUGAUUUCCAUGUACUAAGUUGCCCAAACAUCCCUGACUCUCUUUGUAAAUUCUGGAGCUUUUUAUUGAUAAAG